UCCUGGUUUUGUUACUUCCUUGCCUUCUUCUAGCUGCUUGAUGAUUCCCCCGCUUCUUUUCCCCUAUCAUUCUUCCUUGCUGUUGCUUGAGAAACCGCCAUUUCCAUUUGACGAAGCGCUGAUUUUGAAUCCUGAAGGGCUUCACGCGCCAUAUUAUCGUAAAACGAAAUAGCUUCCGGUGUCUCCUGAUGUACCAAGCUAUCUCUAACCUCGCUGGCCUUCAUGAUGGCUCUCUCCAUAAGUGAAUGGACAUUUCUAGUCGUGGAGUGGAACUUAUUGUCUGCCAAACCUGAAUCAAUGGCAAAGUUGUAAGCUUCACUGGCCUUUUCCACAUUCUCCGGAACAUUGGUGGCCAUGGAUAAUAUUUCCCAAAACUUAGUAGAAUCCAU
rnacentral:lncRNA from 1 species